rnacentral:rRNA from 1 species
UACGUAGGGUGCAAGCGUUGUCCGGAAUUAUUGGGCGUAAAGAGCUCGUAGGCGGUUUGUCGCGUCUGCUGUGAAAACUCGGGGCUCAACCCCGAGCUUGCAGUGGGUACGGGCAGACUAGAGUGCGGUAGGGGAGACUGGAAUUCCUGGUGUAGCGGUGAAAUGCGCAGAUAUCAGGAAGAACACCGGUGGCGAAGGCGGUUCUCUGGGCAUUACCUGACGUGAGGAGCGAAAGUGUGGGGAGCGAACAGG